rnacentral:lncRNA from 1 species
GAACACCUUGCAAAGUAUGGUGUAUAUAAGCUUCUCCUGCAGCACAUCAUGUUAUUUGCUCUUCUUCUCUGGAUCUGUUUACAGAGAGCAGACUUUCUUUUAAUUGGCAAAGUGAUAAUGUGGUCUCUGUUGCUUAGAGCUGUUUGGCUGGUGAUAAAUAGGUUAUUGGCUCAAAACUCUCAUCUUCUGAGACAGCUGAUGUGGUGCAAGUCUGUGGCCCUGCUUGCUGUUGCCUGGCAGUCCUAA